CAUACGCGUUCAGAGUUUGAUCCUGGCUCGGGAUGAACGCUAGCGGCAGGCUUAACACAUGCAAGUCGAGGGGCAGCGGGAAAUGUGCUUGCACAUUUUGCCGGCGACCGGCGCACGGGUGCGUAACGCGUAUGCAACCUACCCAUAACAGGGGGAUAACACUGAGAAAUUGGUACUAAUACCCCGUAACAUCAUUUGAGGCAUCUCAGAUGGUUGAAAGUUCCGGCGGUUAUGGAUGGGCAUGCGUUGUAUUAGCUAGUUGGUGAGGUAAUGGCUCACCAAGGCGACGAUACAUAGGGGGACUGAGAGGUUAACCCCCCACAUUGGUACUGAGACACGGACCAA
rnacentral:rRNA from 1 species